CGGGGGACCGCAGGAUCCUGGGCUGUGUCCCCCGGUGCCCUGGGAUCCGGGGCCUGCGCUGCUGGAAUCACGCUCCUCAGUCUGCAUCUCCCG
rnacentral:pre_miRNA from 1 species